rnacentral:tRNA from 1 species
UUAAGAGAAAAAGAGAACCAAAAAUUUGGCAUAUUUUGAGUAUCCACGCUUAUCGGUUUUGUAUGAAAAAUUAAGAGAUUAAACAGCUAAAAAGAGGUAUUGGCUUUAUAAAGAGAAAAGGGCCAACAAGAGAUAAAGGCUAAUAAUAAGAAGGAAAGUAGGGUCAGUAGCUCAGUCGGUUAGAGCACCGUCUUGAUAAGGCGGGGGUCGCUGGUUCGAUUCCAGCUUGACCCACCAUAGAGAUGCUCUAUAAAGAAAGAAAGAGAGUAUGAAAAGCAGAAUGUGGGGGAUUAGCUCAGUUGGGAGAGCGCCUGCUUUGCACGCAGGAGGCCGUCGGUUCGAUCCCGUCAUCCUCCACCACCCUAGAUAUUCUCUAAGCCGCUUUUGUGUAUGUGUAUGGAUUUUAGGGUAUUUUAUUAAUAGCUCUUUUUUAAAAAGAAAGAGUGAAUUAAUAAAGUAUCUUUUUUUAAAAAAGCAAUAAGUAAAAAAUAUAAAGAGAGAUUACUUUAGGCUGUUCUUUAACAAUUUGGAAGAAGCACAACAAGUAAAACAACAAAAGAAUGGUUGUGUGAGUACGUAUAAGCUU